AGUUCUAUGGGAAAAACCAUUCAACCCAGAAAUAGACAAGAAAGAGGGUUGAAACCUUCAUGACAAUACUAGAGAAUUAACAGUGGAGACAUGUUAGGCAACAACAUAGUGUUGCCUUUCACAAGCUCCCUGAGGUUUCUAUUUCAGUUAGAGGACCAAGAUUUCAGUUCAAGUCACUGGAAGAAGAGAGCUGUCAUUUACGGAAAGAGAACAAGUUUAAGGAGCAGAGGGAACUAAAAGUUCAGUUCUGACAUGUUAACUUCCCAACACCUUAAUAGGUGCUUUCUCCGAAGGAGGAUUAUCAUCAGCAGGUAAUAUUCAGACAUCAAAGCUAUCACAGAUAAUUCAAUGGAUCAACAGACUUCUGUUCGUUGAACUGGAGCUGUCCCCAGAGGGCAAGAGAAAGAAAGCCUCAAGAAAAUUCAUCCUGUAAUCCUAAAGCAUAGUUUCGCUGACAAAAUGUGCUGUUAGUUCAAACUCACUACACCCAUUUUUCAGGAAGACCCCAAAUCGUUAUGAAAGUAUAGACAAAGGAAGAGGCUGGAAUGCCAUGGUUUGAUCUCGGCUCACUAUAACCUCCGCCUCCUGGAUUCAAGCAAUUCUCCUGACUUAGCCUCCCGAGCUGCAUGGAGGUCGUAGCAGGAAUGUGUAGAUAUUGGAAAUCUACCAGAUGUAUCAUCAGACAAACUGACUGAAGUGGAGAAGAGAAUCAAUCAGCCAAAUAAUUACAGAAGUUGUACCACUGCCUGAAAUAUCUUGACUGAUUCAACAGAAGUUGAAUUUUUGGACCGUGAUGCCAACCUUCACAUUCCUGAUUGCCGGAUUUCUGAACAGAGAAAUUUGAUUUUUGUGACUAUCAAAUCAGCAGCUGCACCUUGAUGUUGCCCAUUAUCAUCAUUCAUAUUUCAUUAGUAUGGCUAAUGAAACUCCUCACUCUUCUUACUCAAAGUGACCUCAGGCCAGAAGAAACCAUGAUUUGUGGGCAACCACCAUAGGCAGGGCCCAUUGGCUCUCCAUCACAGAGACAAUAAGAAAGGCAGCCUCACUCAGCUACUCUCUGCUUCCACCCAAGAGAAUGUCUACUUCCCACAGAGCAAAAUUUGCUCCAGCCAUGAAAUAUGAAUGAAAAAGUUGAAUAUUCCUUCAGCCAACAGUUAACAACCAAGAACUGACAAAAUGCAUUACUUCAAUAAAUAAAGGUCCUCUACUCUAAGGAACCUGCCAUAGAAGCAUCAACGUUAGAGGAAUACAACUGGCUAAAAAUGAUUCCGGGAAAGAAAAGAUCAUUUUGUCAUCAAGACAAAGAAAGGGAACUGGAUUCAGAGUCACUCGAAGCACCAGAGAACAAGUCUUCUAGCUCCGGCCUCUACUUUAUUUCAUUACCUCCCUAAUGGGAAUUUGAGAGACAGAGCAGUGGAGUAACCGUUUAGGUAUCAGAUAUUGUACAUGAAUGAACUUAUGUGAGAGGGAUUUGUAUGCUUGCAUUUAAAAAGCUCCUGACAAAAAUAUGAUCUAUUUACAUUUUAAGGGAUUAAAAAUAUAAAUAAGCAGGCCCCGGGCAUGGUGGCUCACACCUGUAAUCCCAGCACUUUGUGAGGCUGAGGCGGGUGGAUCACCUGAGGUCAGGAGUUCAAGACCAGCCUGACCAACAUGGAGAACCCCCAUCUCUACCAAAAAAAAUGUAAAAUUAGCCAGGUGUGGUGGCACAUGCCUAUAAUCCAAGCUACUCAGGAGGCUGAGGCAGGAGAAUCGCUUGAACCCAGGUGGCAGAGGUUGUGAUAAGCCAAGAUCGUGCCAUUGCACUCUAGCCUGGGAAACAAGAGCAAAACUCCAUCUCAAAAAAAAAAAAAAAGUAUAAGCAAACACUUUACUAUUUGUCUCGAACACUGAAACACUAAAUCAUCACAGUAUAAAAGCUGAUAAUGGGUUUGUUAUACCAGCAACACACAUGUUAAAACAAACUGUCUAAAAGUCAUUUAGAUUUGUACAGCUGGCAAAAUGGUUGUCUUCUGGAACCAGAAUCUCCUCCACCACUCAUUAAAUAUUUGACCUGGAGCCAGGUAAUAACACUCUAAGCCUCAGUUUCCCCAUUUGUAGGAUGGAAAUAAUAAUAGAACCCUAUCACAGAAUUGCAUUGUGUAUUAUAUGAACUAACCGGAAAAACAAAAUUCUUAGCUGAACACCUAAGACAAAAUAAGUUUUCGAACAUUAGUUCUACACAAAAAAGCAAGUGUAGACAAAUAAAACAGACUAGGGGUGGGUGGAAGGAUUGAGAAAAAACAGUCCCGCUUUAUUGAGACAAACACCAAAUAUUUAAAAUCUGGGUCAAAAUCAACUAAGAAUAGAUAUAAUACAGUUUUUAAAAACACACUCCAAAGAAGUAUGGACUAAAAAUAUAUUGAAGAAAUGUGUCAAGAUGAAAAAUUUAUGCAGUAGGAAUAUUUAAUAGGCUAUUAAACCAAGAUGCUUUAAGGCCUAUUUAUUUCAUGAGAAUGUUAAGGAAAAAAAUAGUAUGACCCUCUCUCAAACUCUUCUCCAGCACUAUCAUCAGAGACAAGUAGUUCACUUGAUGCACAAAGGCAACUUUUGCAUCCAUAGAUGAAACUGGCAUUAGGCAAAGAGAGAGUUCUAGUGGAGAAAAUGUAUUAUUAUUCAAGACAGUGCUGAGCCCAGUUAUUAGUCACUAAGUCAACAACUAUUUACCAAGUACCAUUCUUGUGCACAUGCAGCACAAGACACAGGGUACAAAAACAGUGAACAGGCCGGGCCUGGUGGCUCACACCUGUAAUCCCAGCACUUUGGGAGGCCGAGGCGGGUGGAUCACGAGGUCAAGAGAUCAAGACCAUCCUGGUCAACAAGGUGAAACACCGUCUCUACUAAAAAUACAGAAAUUAGCUGGGCAUGGUGGUAUGUGCCUGUAAUCCCAGCUACUCAGGAGGCUGAGGCAGGAGAAUUGCCUGAACCCAGGAGGCGGAGGUUGUGGUGAGCCGAGAUCGCGCCAUUGCACUCCAGCCUGGGUAACAAGAGCGAGACUCUGUCUCAAAAAAAAAAAAAAAAAACUGAACAAAGUGAAGCAUGGCUCAGACUCUCAUAAUGCUCACAUUCCAGUGUGAAAGGCCAGCUGUUAAUCAAACCAUGAUCCAAACGGCUGUUUAUUGCCAACCUAGGGAAAGUGCUAUGAAGAGACAAGCGGUGUAGGCUGCAGUUCUGAAACGCUUCAAUGAGAAGAGGGAAUAAGUAGUAGACGACUGAUAGAGGGGGUUACAGAUUAAGGAGCCCGUAGUUGUUUUAAGAUCUUUUAAG